rnacentral:rRNA from 1 species
GGCCUAACACAUGCAAGUCGAACGAUACCAUUUAGCUUGCUAGAUGGGAAAGUGGCGCACGGGUGCGUAACGCGUAUGCAACCUACCUCAAUCAGGGGGAUAGCCCGAAGAAAUUCGGAUUAACACCGCAUAAAAACACAGUACAGCAUUGUACAAUGUUCAAAUAUUUAUAGGAUUGAGAUGGGCAUGCGUGUCAUUAGCUAGUUGGCGGGGUAACGGCCCACCAAGGCGACGAUGACUAGGGGAUCUGAGAGGAUGACCCCCCACACUGGUACUGAGACACGGACCAGACUCCUACGGGAGGCAGCAGUAAGGAAUAUUGGUCAAUGGAGGGAACUCUGAACCAGCCAUGCCGCGUGCAGGAAGACGGCCCUCUGGGUUGUAAACUGCUUUUAUUCGGGAAUAAACCUACUUACGUGUAAGUAGCUGAAUGUACCGAAGGAAUAAGGA